GCUUGGUGCGGCCCCGGCUGGGCAGUCUGGUCAAUCCUGCCCUUGGGAACCCGCAUCCCGCCCCUCCCCGAGCGCCGCGCCUCGUGACGGUGAAUUAGAAAUUGAGCUAUUAAGAGAGAAUCGUCUGCACGGAAUUAUGUUCUUGCAGAGGUUGGAAAAGGAUGACCUGAAAUCAGAAGAUAAUUGAAUAUGCAGGUGAAAUGGAUGUAAGUUACUCUCAGGAUACUGUUUUUGGGUAUAUGAAAAUAAGCAUUUUGCAAGCUUUAAGGUAACAAGUUACUUCAGUGUGUGUGUAUGCGUAUAUAUUUACUUUGAAAAUAAUUUAAAACUAAAUAGUUUCCUGUUAAUACAUUGGAUCCAAAGACAAAAAUCACUGUGCACUUAAGGUUAUAUAUUCUUUUAGAGGAAGUGACAGCAUUUACAGAGAUAGCAGGAUCAAAAAAGGCUU
rnacentral:lncRNA from 1 species